GGCUGGAAAAGUUUCCAGAUUGCUUUCAUAGCUAAAGUUCACCAGUGUUGUUCACAGGAAACUAGAAACCCCUUCUGCUUUUCCUGUUCCACGUACAACCUCCCUGACACUGAAUGCUCAGUACUUGAAGAUAACCUUCCUGAAAAGAAGAGGACUCUUCUUUGGAAAAGAGCAUUAGAGUGCCUGACAAGUAGUUUGAGGUAGUACUAAGUGACUAGAAAAUAAUGUAUGAGCAAGAACUGACAGGGAGAUAGACCAUUAAGUUUAAAAAUCUGGUCCUAGCU
rnacentral:sRNA from 1 species